rnacentral:lncRNA from 1 species
GCUUCCUCAAGUGUUGCUCGGAAAAUAGAAGAAUGCGUAUCAUAGAGCAUCUAAUUGAUAUAGUAUCAAUGAUCUCAAACAUUUCGAAUUCCAAAUAGAAAACUUCCAAGGGAUCAGAUGGUUUUAAGAUUUAGUAACGAUCCGACAUUCAAUGACGAAGUCAUGACAGCUUAAAUUUUUAGCUAUAAAUCAAAUAGCAGAGGUUGAUCUUGGAUCAUCCUAAAUUUGAUCAAUUUUCUUAACAAAAAAAAGAAAGAAAGAUCUAAAAGAAUACUUCAUUAAGAUUUGAAUGCUGAUCCAAUUGUGGAUCCUUAAAAUGCAGUCCUUUGAUUUAUGGUUGUUAUACUACAAAUUGCAUAUAUUGAAGAAUAUAUCUGGAUCAUCAAAUAUUUAGAAGAUUCAAUAGUAGAUCAUCAAAUACAAUGCCACUGCAAGCCGAUUUAGUGGUCCCAAAAAUCCUGUUUGAUC